rnacentral:rRNA from 1 species
AGCAGCAGCCGCGGUAAUACGCAGGGUGCAAGCGUUAAUCGGAAUUACUGGGCGUAAAGCGUGCGCAGGCGGUUAUAUAAGUCAGAUGUGAAAUCCCCGGGCUCAACCUGGGAACUGCAUUUGAGACUGUAUGGCUAGAGUGUGUCAGAGGGGGGUAGAAUUCCACGUGUAGCAGUGAAAUGCGUAAAUAUGUGGAGGAAUACCGAUGGCGAAGGCAGCCCCCUGGGAUAACACUGACGCUCAUGCACGAAAGCGUGGGGAGCAAACAGGAUUAGAUACACCCGUAGUCCCUGUCUCUUAUAC